rnacentral:rRNA from 1 species
GAUGAACGCUGGCGGCGUGCCUAAUACAUGCAAGUCGAGCGAACAGACGAGAGCUUGCUCCUCUGACGUUAGCGGCGGACGGGUGAGUAACACGUGGAUAACCUACCUAUAAGACUGGGAUAACUUCGGGAAACCGGAGCUAAUACCGGAUAAUAUAUUGAACCGCAUGGUUCAAUAGUGAAAGACGGUUUUGCUGUCACUUAUAGAUGGAUCCGCGCCGCAUUAGCUAGUUGGUAAGGUAACGGCUUACCAAGGCAACGAUGCGUAGCCGACCUGAGAGGGUGAUCGGCCACACUGGAACUGAGACACGGUCCAGACUCCUACGGGAGGCAGCAGUAGGGAAUCUUCCGCAAUGGGCGAAAGCCUGACGGAGCAACGCCGCGUGAGUGAUGAAGGUCUUCGGAUCGUAAAACUCUGUUAUUAGGGAAGAACAAAUGUGUAAGUAACUAUGCACGUCUUGACGGUACCUAAUCAGAAAGCCACGGCUAACUACGU